CGCGGUCUUUGCUUCGCUAUUUGC
rnacentral:miRNA from 1 species